rnacentral:rRNA from 1 species
UACAGAGGGUGCGAGCGUUGUCCGGAAUCACUGGGCGUAAAGAGCGCGCAGGCGGUCGUGCAAGUCGCGUGUGAAAGCCCCCGGCUCAACUGGGGAGGGUCACGCGAUACUGCUCGACUUGAAGGCAGGAGAGGGAAGUGGAAUUCCCGGUGUAGUGGUGAAAUGCGUAGAUAUCGGGAGGAACACCAGUGGCGAAGGCGACUUCCUGGCCUGUUCUUGACGCUGAGGCGCGAAAGCUAGGGUAGCAAACGGG